rnacentral:rRNA from 1 species
GUUGAAUAAUUAUUUGUAAUAUAUUUUUUGUAAUUAUAUGUUAUUCGUUUUUCAAUAUAUCUGGUUUUUGAGGAAAUUAAUUUAAUUAAGCUGAAUUUUGAAUUUUUCUAUAUAUUUAGAUUUUAUUAAGAUUUAUGUAAUGUUUAAGGGGAUAAGCUUUUGAACAAAUUUAUAUAAUUAAAUAUUGUAUUGUUUGGCGUAGGAAUAGAAGUUUUCAUCUUUUGAAGUGUAUUAUUACUUGAUUUUAUAAUAUUUGAUUUUUGUUUUUUUAUAUUUUUUACUUAAAUUAUAAUUUGAAUUGUUUUUGUUUUGUAAUAAUGAUUGAAUUAGUAUAUUAAAUUGUUUUUAUAUUAUUGUUUGGUAGGUUAUCUAAAGGAAUUCGGCAAUUAAAUUUUCUGCCUGUUUAUUAAAAACAUGGCCUUUUGAUAAUAAUUUAAGGUCUGACCUGCUCUAUGAUUAAUUAAAUGGCUGCGGUAUUUUGACCGUGCAAAGGUAGCAUAAUCAUUAGUUUUUUAAUUGGAAGCUGGUAUGAAUGGUUGGACAAGAGAAUUACUGUCUCUGGAUAAUUUGGUUUGAAUUUUAUUUUUUAGUGAAAAAGCUUAAAUUUUUGUGAGGGACGAGAAGACCCUAUAGAAUUUUAUAGAUUAAUUUUGGUGAGGUUUUUAGGUUAAUUGGUUUAGCUUAAAUUAAUUUGUUUUGUUGGGGUGAUAGAAAAAUUUAUUUAACUUUUUUUUGCUUUAUACAUUGAUAUAUGAGUAUAUGAUCCAUUAAUUAUGAUUAUAAGAUAAAAUUACCUUAGGGAUAACAGCGUUAUUAGUUUGGAGAGUUCUUAUCGAUAGACUAGAUUGCG